rnacentral:rRNA from 1 species
UACGUAGGGUGCAAGCGUUGUCCGGAAUUAUUGGGCGUAAAGAGCUCGUAGGCGGUUUGUUGCGUCGGCUGUGAAAUCCCGAGGCUCAACCUCGGGUCUGCAGUCGAUACGAGCAAACUAGAGUGUUGCAGGGGAGACUGGAAUUCCUGGUGUAGCGGUGAAAUGCGCAGAUAUCAGGAGGAACACCGGUGGCGAAGGCGGGUCUCUGGGGCAACAACUGACGCUGGAGGAGCGAAAGCCGUGGGGAGCGAACAGG